GUGGAAGAGCCCAGCGACCUCGGAAGCCUAUCCCAGAGCAGGGCUUUUUGUGUGGCUGCCCCUGUUCUGUGAAACAGCCAUGCUUUCGAGAUAUGGCCAUUCCGGAAACAGCCAAAGAGGCUUCCCCAGCUAGAGAAACGGGUCUUUAGUAGGAUCCUAUGCAAUCAUAGGACUUUUCUCAUUCCAGCAAUGAGAAAUUAUGUUCUCCCUGUGUGGCUUCUGAAAGUACGUGGAAAAAAACAAUAAAAAAUAGGUGUCAGAAGGAAAACACGCCACCAAACCCAAACAGAGCGCUGCAGAAACGUUUAAAAAACGAAGGAAAAGCAGUUUCAGAAAGAGUGGGAGAUGAGAUGGUCCUGUUCCAAUUCUAACCAACUAAAGGAAAGUUUAUAUAAAAACAACCACUUGGUUGGUGACUCAUGAGGAAAGAAUUUAUCCUUUUUCUUAAGGGAAGCCCUUGGAAAUAACAUGACUAAUAAGAGGAUUGAUCUUGUCUAACUGGCCACAAGUUAAAUUUGACAGCAAUUUCAUCUUAAAAUAUAUACAUAAUAUGCCUGAUAAAAGCUAGCUGUAGCCCAAAAGUUCAGGUCAAUAAAUAAGCCAGGAACUAACUGCUUGUUACAUGCAAAUAUGUGUAACAGAGCCCCAGUGCCUUGGAAAAAAAUAGCUUGGGGAAGGAGACAUUAACUCUACCUGCUGUUUCUCUGCUCAAAUCACACCCCAAGUCUCAACAGAGAAAAAUGGGAAGGCAAAAUGAUAUACAUAUGCUUCUAUGAUCUACAUUAUGUUCUUUCAAACCUUUCCUUUUAAAAAAAAAUACACCCUUGCAUUUAAUAUGUAGUUAAGCAGUUCAUAGAAUUACAGAAUUCUAGAGUUGGAAGGGACCCCAAGGGUCAUCUAGUCCAACCCCUGCAAUGCUGGGCUUAAAGCAAAAGCAUCCAUGACGGAGGGCCAUUUAACCUCUGCUUAGAAACCUCCAAGGAAGGAGAGUCCACAACCUCUCCAGGGAAACUCUUCCACUGCUGAACAGCCCUUACUGUCAGAAAGUUCUUCCUGAUUUUUAGCUGGAAUCUCCUUUCUUGUAACUUGAAGCCACUGGUUCAAGUCCUACGCUAUGGAGCCGAAAACAAGCCUUGCUCCAUCUUUCAAAGUUCAAAAUCUAAAUACAAUAUUGCAAUAAAGAAUACAUAUAAUAUCACUGCAACACAAGGCUAAACAAUUAACAGUUCAUGUAACAUACACCAACAUUUAAAUAAGCCCACAGCUUGUCAUUUGUAGACAUUGGGGUGCCAGCUACUAUUUUGAAUUAAGAUGGGAAGCAAAAAUGCCGCUUUGGGAUGUGAACAGAUUGUGCUUCACUCAGUGUUUUGUCCCUGCACCAGAAAACAUCAGAGGGACUUCUUGGUGCUUUAAAAAAAAAAUGCUUGUCACCCAUCCCAAAGUGUUUUAUGAAACAUUUUUGCAUUAGUUCAACCAAGUAUUAGUUUUGCAGUAGUUUGUUUGACUAUCUGACAUCUGUAAACUGCAAUGCAGAAAACAUUCUCCAAACAGAUCAUCCUUUAACACACCAGCUUUUUUUAAAAAAAAUGAAAUCAUUACAGAGCAUUUGCUCAUAUUUAGUCUGAGUGAUAUUAGAAAUAAAUACAAUGUUUUGGGAUUGGAUAUUAUAAUGGUCUAAAAGUAAGGAUACUUCACAGAAAACUUUAACUACAAUGCAAUGAAACUUACUAUGGUAGGGUUUUGUUUUUUUACUGUACAUCAAAGCUAAUAUAAAUGAAGAGUUAUAAAAACCCAGCACUGAAGUUUUAAAUAAGAAUUGCCAACCUUGCAGGCACUAAGUUGAAUUAGAUCAGCCUGCUGGCUUUGAAGGUGCAUUCAAUUAGACGGUGGAGGGUGGGGCCAACAUUUGCCUUGGCUUCUGCAUCCGUUCUGUGUUCCAGCUGGACUGCAGAAGAAGGGUGUGGGCUGAAGAGGGGGAGAACUGAAACACACAUUGGAAGCGGAGGGAACUCAUGAGCAAUCUCCAAAAGAGGACUCUUACAAGUGUGGAGCUUGAUAAACGGGAAGUUGAAUUAGACUUUCAGUGGACAUCAGGACAGCUGGCGUCCCCCAUUCCUCCUAGGACUUGUCUCUGUGGAAGUUUUGCAAUCUGUUCAGGAAAGUACCAUCACUGUCAAGUGUGGACUACCAAGCACACAGCAAGCAAUUGUCCCUCCCAAGAAGGCUGCUCCUAGGGAUAGUGCCCUUGCCUCAUAGUCCAUGGCUGGUGUGGGAAAUGUCAGGCCUGGGGCCCAAUCACAGCCCUCCAGGCUCCUACGGGACGAGUGCGGAGGUACACCUCCGCCUCAGCCAGCCUCUCUCCCUGGGCUGCACCUGUCUCACCCGCUCUACUGGUGCAAACACCCCUUCCCCACCUGGAACGUGCCCUUGAACGCGGACAAGGUCUCUCCCUUCCCCAGACGGAGCACAGAGAGGGGGGGUGUGCAGAAACAAGCCUAGUACACAAAGGUAAAAUUCACAUUCGUGGCUCAGCCUGUUGUAGUCCCUGGCCAUGCACAGCACUCAGAAUUAUGUCCACAAGGGAAUGUGGCCUUCAACUGGGGGAAAAGGCUGCCCCCCGCCGGGCUGUAUGCCAGCAUGAAUGAGGGCAUCUCUUGUUUGGCUUUGUUUUCUCUCAAUGAUAUCACCGCAUAGCCAAAUCUGAUUAGCUUUAUGACAACACUACAGUACCUUAAGAAGCAGCACACCCAUUUUAGAAAAGAAAUGUGGCGGAAGGCUAAAGAAGCACCUGCCCAGGACUCUAAAGAGGCUCUGCUAUGGCGCUGCCUGAGCAGCGGAGAUGGAAAAGGCGACAUAAGCCUAGGUUGAAGGUGCAUUGGAGAAGCCUGGACGAUCUGCUGCACUACCAAUACUUUCACCCUUUUUCAAAUAUUUCCUAGGAGUCAGAUAAGUUCAUGAAAAACAUGUUCUUCACAUUUGGCCCAGUCCUAGCCGUUACGACUGAAUAACAUUUGUGCAUAAAACCCCAAAUCCUCAUGAUGCACGCAUAUUUUGAAUGCACCCCUCUGUAAAUGAUCAGAGCACCUUAUGGAGCCGAGAUUAUUGUGUGUUCCUGACUUGUGUAGACACCUUGCGUGAGGCAGCGAGUCAUUCUGGUGGGCUAAGGAGGAAAAGAGCCUUCAGACAGUCCUACAAUUAAAAAGAAGAAUUAAAAAGAGGUUGAUCACAGCAGUUUCUCCUGCACAUCUGAAAAAGGGCUUAUACUUCUGAG